GGCACCGCACGCGAGCCAACCUCCGCGAGGAACCCCGCAGCCUUUUUCCCCGUCUUCUGUUGCCGCAAGCGUUAGCUAGGGCAAAACGGAUCUCGCCGGAGAAGCUCGAGACCACCGCUGUUCGCCGGUGGUUGUCGCCGCCAGCGAGAGAAGCAGGCCGACCCGCCGCCGCCGGAGCACACCGUGUUUCACCUCGUCGCCGUCGCCUACAGAGGGAGCAACGCCACCGUGGAACACCACCACCACCUCCUCCACUCACCGCCGCAUCCUCCUGUCACUUCCCCCUCGUCGGAGAGUCGCCGGAGAAGCGCCACCGCUGACGCCCGAGCGUCGUCGUCGUUUUCCUCUGUUUUGGAUUGUCCGGAGUGCGACGCGAACUAUUGUCAGGAGUGUGACCUUCUGAACCAGAACCAAG